GGUUGUGGCUCAGUGAUACAGUGCUGGCCUCAAAUGUGUGAGGCCCUGGGUUCAAUCCUCAGCACCA
rnacentral:tRNA from 1 species